CUCACGCCGAACAUUUCGUGAAAACUUGCGACCAUAAGACCUCCUCCAGUGUAUUUUACCGUACAACAGUGUUCGUAUUCGUUUAGUGGUGUGUAGAAAAUUGUGUCGAUCUUCGAUCGUCGAGGGUGCGAUCUCUGGAAAGUAGCAAGGAAGGAUCGACACGACAAUCCGUAAGAUCGCGUCGCCACUCGUCCGUAUAUGUGCGCGCGCGCAAGAUCCCCUCCUCCAGUGCUUGUGUAUAUACCUGUACGUAGUGUGUACGAGCAAGCGGGCAAGCGCGCGUGUAUAUAGCUCCACUUCUUUCUCUCUUCUUCUGUCUUCUUGUACCGUCUGCGUUCCGUGCGCUCGUGUUCGUGAUUGGUCGGUGCGUGGCAUUUUUAAAAAGUCGUCCUGCUUCUGUCCGUUAUAACCUGAGAGAGAUCCGGCAGCAGUGAUGUCGCGAAACCAUGAGUAAAUCGAUAUCGUGAUCCAUGUCGAUACGAAGCAUUUCCGACUGCGAGUUUCUUCGAUUGUUCGCGAUACAAUAGUUUUCUUCUCGUUGUGAUUAAUUAUUUACGGGUUCUUCGUUGCUUUUUACCACGAGCAGUUGCAACGAACAGAAACCGCGAACGGCACGUACGAGAUUCGAGCAAGAAAGGAAUAAGGGGCUACGAUACCGGCUCUCCAGAAUUCCUCGCGGCACGUUUGUCGAAAUAGCGGAAAAUUUAAACACGAUAUCCUAACGACUCGGCAACAUUACGGAGCAAUAACUAUCAUUGUUGACAGAUAGAGUACACGAGUACGAAAAAAGAAAAGAAAAUAAAUGCAAGAAAGGAAAGAAGAGAAAGGGGAAAGCAAAAUACGCGUGCAAUUCCUUUUUUCGGAGCGAUUCUCCUGAGUGACAUAUGCGUGUGGCGCGUAGAUUCCUUGCCAAAGAUAAAGUUUGGAUACGAACGGGAGCACUGGAAAGUGGCUGAAUUUCGAGAAUAGUUUCUUCUCGACCUUCUGUUUGAAAGGAGGGGGAAAAGAAAAGGACGAUAUAACCGUCGCGGCGAUUUUCUGGUCUCUUUAGAGAAGUGCAGUUUCUGUUCUCCAUUCGUGCUUCGUUCAUCGGCCGGAGUGUCGGUUGUGCUACAGUGUAUCGUAGUGCUAGUGCGGGGUAAGGUUAGGGUUAUACAGAAGAGAAAGAAAGAUAAAGAGAAGAGUAGGUAUAAAUGAAUAAGCGAUAAACUGCAACAUCGCGAUUAAGUGCAAAAUACACGACAAGACAAAAUAUCGUUGCAAGAGGAUACCGUUCGAAGAAGAGUCGUUCACAUUUCUCAAGAACUGGAUUACUCGAGAACGUGCAAUUCGAGAAUCGCUAAAAUUUUACCUGUUUAUAAAAAAGGCCGUACCCCCAGAGAUGGUAUGAGGGACGAUUCCGGCAACAUUGCCGACGUGGCCAGUACUUCGAGCGCGUAGACGUAUACGUGCCGUUAAGUCCCGGAAGGAAGAACCGACUUGGACCGACCUCCCCCCUACAGUGUUGGAUCCUAGAUUUGUUCGUAGAUAGAUUCCUCAUGCCAGCUCCGCAACAGAACUUGUACCAAGAGGACGAUGAAAACUGUCAUGGACCGAUGGACGGCGUGCGACCGCACGAUUUUCCCGAGACCUAUGAACAGUUGUUGAAACACUUCUGCGUCAAACCAUUCUCUUUGCCCAUAUAUUGUCUGGACAACAAGCGGCGAGUCUGUCAAGAUUGCUACGAGAAUGGUUUAGAUAACGAGGUGCGAGUCCUCUAUCAGGAAGGCGGAUACCAUUCUAUGUGCAGGAACGCCGGUGUAGCCAACGCGACCAAAUGCCACGUUUGCCAACGGCGCAUAGCGUAUAUAACGCCGGCAGGCUCGUGCACCGAAUGCAUCGAGGAAUUUUUCGAAGUGAGCGGUGAAGAUUUGCGGAAUAUGUCUAGGGGGAAAACCAUAGACGUGUUGACGAGGUGGUGAUGUAAAACUAUUUUUAAAAAGUAAAGGAAACAAAAAGUGAAAAGUGCGAACAAUUGGAACACUGUACAAAAAAAGAAAAACAAUUUAACGAAGAUAUCGAAUCGAGAGUGCGAGUGAUCCGAUGAUACGACCCCGAUGGACAAUAUGACAACAGUAUCCAGCGCUUGCAAAAGAAAAGACGAGAAAUCGGAAGAAAUAUAUACUACUAGAAAAUUACCAGUGGGCGGGGGUGGUGCUGUGCUGGUGCUCAGCGAGCUUGAAAGCAUGGCAGCCAGGCAACAGCGGGAAAUUGCCCAGCAAAGGCGCCUCCUGGAGCAGAGAGAGGCCCGUCUAGCCGUGCUUCGAGGCGCACAGGAGCCAGCACAGCAGGACAAACUCGCCAGAUUGAGGCACAGGUUGGACCAACAACAAAGCAAACUGAAUCGGUUGCGAUUACUCAGGUCGCAAACCGACCAGUCACGUGCCAACAACGCCACGCUGACCUCGGACCUGGACUGCAUAAGGGCGCUGUUCAACGAGAAGGAGAAGGAGCUCUCAUUGGCGGUGGCGAAGGUGGAGGAGUUGACGCGACAACUGGAGGAGUUGCGGGGCAGGCAGAACGCGGCCGGGACCGGAAGCGGAGGUGGAGGCGCCGGAGGCGUCGGCGGCGGAGGCGUUGGCGGCGGUGGCGGCGGUGGACACUUGUCGACGCCAGCCAGCGCGGAGCUCGAGAAACUCAGGAGGGAGCUUAUUUAUCGUAAUAAGAUGAACGAGCAGCAGAACCAAAUGGUGUCUCAGCAACGGUUGGCCCUAGCGCAACGACAAGCAGAGAUGGCGUCGAUAGACGCGAGGAUAGCUCAGCUGCAGGGUCGUCUUCAACGCAAGAGAGCGUUGAACCAACGAUUGAGCCAGCAGCUAGGCUCUGGGAAUCGCACGAGCGCGAACACUGGGUUCACAGAGUCGAAGCUGGACUUCAAUGCCGGAGGGAAGUCCAGGCCUGCUGGAAAUAUAGCCGCUAUUGAACCGUAUUCCCAUAUACCGAACGACAACGAUUUCAAUUUGAACAAAAACGACCCGAAAUAUCAGACACUGCCUUACAACACCAAAUUCACGGUGAAUUUUAAGGCUGCCGAAGAUGACGUUAAUAAGAAUAAGAUACAACACUCGGCCAGUGCCUCCCAAUUAGGUCAGAGGGCAGCUUUUCAACAAUUUGGUCAUCAAAUCGCCCAUAGCCAAUCCCAAUCUCAUAUUCAAGGUCAAUCGCAAUUACUGGGCACGAAUCAACACAACCAGAACCUGCCUAAUCAAUCCGUGAACAUGCAACAGACUUGCAACAACAACAACAAUAACAACAACAACAACAAUAACAACAGUAAUAAUAACAACAACAACGCCAAUAGUACGAACAACAACCUGAUUAGCACAUCCCACAACUUCAGCCCCGAGGGUUUAUCGCAAAAUCUUCGGAUCCAUCAUCAACAGCAAUCGCAGACGCAACAGCAGCAGCAGCAGCAACAACAACAGCAACAGCAGCAACAGCAACAGCAACAACAACAACAACAACAACACGGAAACAUUCAACAGAAGCAACACAACGUUGGUUCAUCGACAUCGAAUCUUGGCACCACCGUAUCCAUUACUCAAACUCAAAAUCACAGAAACCUUCAAACGCAUCAGAAACCAAUAUCCAGCGUGGCGCCAAGUUUCUCCGUCAAGUCUCAAAUCUAUCAGACUUCCUCCACGAAAAUUCAUCCCGUGAUGCCCCAAACUUUGAGCCUGAUAGGCCGUGGACACAAUAACGCGCAAAAUUUCGUCGGGCUGAGCACUCAGGGUGGCAACCAGCAGCAAUCGAACCAAUCCUCCUCUAACAAUCAAACGUCCACUCAGGACCAGACUUACUCGUCGAGGCACAACUAUCCCGGAAUUCAACACUCCGCUCAAGCAAAUACUCACCCUGUGUCUUCGUCCUCGGCGUAUCAGACGCAGAAUUCUCCUAAUCCUUCGUCGACCAUUCACACGUCAUCGAGCGGGACCAGUUUUGGAAAUUCGGUUCAAAGAUACAACCAGGCUCAACCGUUGACCGGCCCCACGUCCAACAACGAACAAUCCGAUAAGAUAAAGUUCGAACAAGGAAAGGUUCAAGAAAAAUUUGAACACGCCCUUCCGGCUAAACACGAACAGCAGAGGUACGAGCCCAAUCAGGUGUUCAAGUACGAUUCUCAUCAGAUAAAAUAUGACCAGCAUUCCAAGUACGAUCAACACGGGAAAUACGAUCAGGCCAAUCAGCAAACGAAAUUGUACGAACAAUCGAGCAAACACGAACAAAUUGGAAAUCAGACGAGUCGUUACGACAACGUCGUAUCGUCGAAGAUCGAUCAAGGGAAGUACGAAACCGGCCAGAAUAAACACGAACAAAUUCAUGGAACGAAGUACGAUCCUAAUCAGAAUACUCAACAAUACGGUAAACACGAUCAACACGAGGUUAGGCCAUCGAUCAAGUACGAGCACAAUGCGGGAUUUAAGCACGAAACAACCUCGAACAAAUACGAGAGCGGGGGGCAGCAAUUCAAGCAAGAAUCGGUCAAAUUCGAGAGCAACAAAUUCGAGCAAAGUUCCGCGACGAAGCACGAGCACAAUGGAAAAUUUGAGAUCCCGGCGAAAACUGUGGAGAAAACGUUCGAAUUCGAUAGAUUGAAAAGCGAGAACGAAAGGAAAAAUAUGAUAGAGGACAAGACGAAACCGGCUCUACCUCCGAAACCGAGCAAACCGAAUCCCCCCCCACGGCUGACCCAUCACGAAAAGAUGGACAAUCCGAGCGGUGAUGGGAUCGGCGAUUGCAAAAACAAUUUAGGGAUCAAUACGAGAACAGAGAAAGAAGAAGACGUUCCACCGAUCCCCACGUCCGAACCACCGGAAUCUCCGACAGAAACCCAAUUCGGCAAUCAUCAAAUCAUCAAAGCCAGGCCUUUAACAUUGAAGAAGGCACCGAUCUCCGAGCAGCCGAAGCUCCGUUACGCCAAGUCGAAUGUCCACGUGUCGAUAAAUCGACGGAUUGAGAUGCCACCGGCGUUUCUGUUUCCGGAAACCGAGAUUCCAGCGGACCUGAUGCAAACGGAACAGCAGCAACAACAACAACAGCAGCAGCAGCAGCAGCAGCAACAGCAGCAGCAACAACAACAACCGCAACAACCUCAGCAACAAUCACAAAUCAUCGAUACGACGGACAACUGCAAGAAGAGCGUUCCGAUCAUCAAUGAAGAUGUGAUUAGUAAUGAGAAAUUGGAGGAAGCGGAUAUCAUUGAUGCGUUGAACGUUAUUAAUAUCGAGGAUAAAGUGAAGGGGAAGGAUUCCGAGAGAAGAACGGAAUUGGAAGUCGAUGGGAAGAACAACGAGGUGAUGAGAAGAAAGAAAGGGAACUUGAAGUCCAGCACGGGGAAAGCGAAUCUCUCGAGAAGGGUCUCCUUUGAUCCUCUAGCUCUACUGUUGGACGCCAGUCUCGAAGGUGAAUUGGAAUUAGUGAAGAAGACUGCUAAAGAAGUGGCGAAUCCUAGUUCAGCUAACGAUGAAGGCAUUACUGCGCUUCAUAAUGCCAUUUGUGCCGGUCAUCUGGAGAUAGUCAAGUUUCUAGUGGAAUUUGGCUGCGACGUGAACGCUCAGGACAGCGAUGGAUGGACUCCCUUACAUUGUGCCGCAAGCUGCAAUAAUUUAUCCAUGGUAAGAUUUCUAGUGGAGCACGGAGCUUGUAUAUUCGCCACUACUCUCUCCGACCAUGAAACUGCAGCAGAAAAAUGCGAAGAAGACGAGGAGGGUUUCGAUGGUUGCUCAGAAUAUUUAUACAGCGUCCAAGAGAAGCUUGGAAUAAUGAACAAUGGUCAAGUAUACGCAGUGUUCGAUUACGAGGCACAACACAGCGAUGAACUCACUCUGAAGAAUGGUGAUUCCUUAGUUGUCCUUCGGAAGGGCGAUGACAACGAGAGAGAAUGGUGGUGGAGCAAACUGGGACACAAAGAAGGCUACGUACCUAGAAACUUACUUGGCGUAAGUUGUCCGAAUAUCUACGAAACGAAGAAACAGAAUGAUUUAUAAUUAAUUAGAAAAGAAAAAGAAAAAGAAAAAGAAAAAGAAAAAGAAUAGAAAUAUAACAUUAAAUUAUAUCCAAGGGUGCAACCGGCAAAGAUCGACUGAAGCGAGUUUCAGUCAGCGAACUCAUAUCCGAUGAUUCAUUACCACAGUAUUCGAUUCGCAGCUUUAUCUUGUUAAGUAUCAUAGUUGCAUCGUCGCAUUACGGAUCGUUAUAUUAAUUUAAUCGCGUCCCAUUGUCAUCCGAAUAAAGCGAACAGAAUGUUCUAUAUAGUUUUUUAUAUCUUCUUUUCUUUUUUGUAAAACGAAAUGAAUAUUGCUAGUAAGUACGGAUCAUGGGUGAAUCACGUAACAUAAACAAACAAUUACAAUAUAAUUAAGUAAAAAAAGCGAAAAAAUGAUAAACUACACAUCCUACACAUGCGUAAAGUUUAAUUGUUCUUAUUUUUUUUUUUUUUGACUCUUAUCUAUUUCUUUUCUUUCUCUUUUUAAAUUAAGAUAUAACUCAAAGGAUGAUAUAAUUUUGAUUAUAAUGAUUUUUAACUAAUUCCUUCAAUUGAAAAACAAUUCAAUACAAAAAUAAAAUUUCAAUGCUUUUACCCGUGAUUCCACUUUUAGCUCGACGGUCGCAUAGUCAAUAAUUGGAAUAUUUACGUUUUAAUAUCCAACGCCUAAGUAUUGCGCCGUGAUGAAGAUCAUUUAAAAAGUUUUUUCUUAGGUUCAUCCUAAUCAAGUCUCGAUUAAGAAUGUCCAAUUGAGAAUAUUUACAAUUUUAUUUAUUUUCAAUAAACGCAAACUUUUUUUAUUGUUUGUUUUUAUUGUUUGUUAAUACAAACAUAAUAAAAACAAUUGUAAUUAUUUGAAAAUAACAAAAAAUUUUCAACACUUUUUUUUUUUAAAAUAAAGAAAUAUUUUCAUUGAAUAAUUUUUCAUUUCCAUUUUCGUUUUUUUCGAGACUCGACGAGAAAGACAAAACUUUUUGAACGAUUUUCCAAUCUGGUUAGAAAGACAACUUUUAUUUUACGCAUAUUACCAUAGAAUAUAAAACGUUCUAUAUGAAUUGCAUAGACAUACUUAAAACGCGUUUGAUUUGUUUCACCUAAAUGUUUUUAUUUAGAUGAAGUCAGAUUAUUGUUGCGUUUAUUGUUAUAUUUUUAUUCGUCUAAUGAAAUUUUCCAAAUCCGAUCAAAAAUAAUUCGGAUUUCGAAAAUGUUCCUAAGAAUUGUGUAUAAUGUAAUCUUGCCAAUACGCACUUUUUAAAUGAUCCGUUAUAAGAAAAAAAAUUAAUAAUCUUACGCUUGCGAACACGGAAGAGAUUAAAAAAAUUUCGAUAGUCCGACCAUAGUAUGACCAUAUCCAAUAUUUCUUUUGUUGUUUGAAGCGUAAUACAAAUCAAUGCGAUUCGAGAAUCUCUAAGUAAUCAAUUUAAAACUUGAUACAUUAAACAUAGAUAUUAAUUAAUUAAUUAAUUGUCUAGGAAAAAUUCGAAUGAUCUGAUUACAAAUAUUCUAAGAUCAUUGUUAUACUGUCUGAAAAAACAGUAACUGAAUCAAUUCUAGAAAAAAAAAAAAGAAUUUUAUUCGAUUCUCAGAAUGUUUUUGACAUUUACACUCAUCCACUCCUACAUAAACACGCACUCACGCGUGUACAUACACAUACACACACGUAAAUGAAGUAUGUGCCUUUCAGAAGUAAUAAUGGUAUAUUAUGUAAGAAUGCAUGAUAUAUUAUGACGAAUAAAUUGUUUUUAAUAAAAAUCAA